rnacentral:rRNA from 1 species
GCAGGCUUAACACAUGCAAGUCGAGGGGCAGCGGGGAGGAAGCUUGCUUUCUCCGCCGGCGACCGGCGCACGGGUGAGUAACACGUAUGCAACCUGCCCCUGUCAGGGGGACAACCCGCCGAAAGGCGGGCUAAACCCGCGUACAUGCCACCGGGGCAUCCCGGAGGCAGGAAAGGCUUCGGCCGGACAGGGAUGGGCAUGCGGCGCAUUAGGCAGUAGGCGGGGUAACGGCCCACCUAACCGACGAUGCGUAGGGGUUCUGAGAGGAAGGUCCCCCACACUGGUACUGAGACACGGACCAGACUCCUACGGGAGGCAGCAGUGAGGAAUAUUGGUCAAUGGUCGGGAGACUGAACCAGCCAAGCCGCGUGAGGGAGGAAGGUACAGAGUAUCGUAAACCUCUUUUGUCAGGGAACAAAGGCGGGGACGUGUCCCCGGAUGAGUGUACCUGAAGAAAAAGCAUCGGCUAACUCCGUGCCAGCAGCCGCGGUAAUACGGAGGAUGCGAGCGUUAUCCGGAUUUAUUGGGUUUAAAGGGUGCGCAGGCGGUCUGUUAAGUCAGCGGUCAAAGCCCGGGGCUCAACCCCGGCCCGCCGUUGAAACUGGCAGUCUCGAGUUGGAGAGAAGUAUGCGGAAUGCGCGGUGUAGCGGUGAAAUGCAUAGAUAUCGCGCAGAACUCCGAUUGCGAAGGCAGCAUGCCGGCUCCACACUGACGCUGAGGCACGAAAGCGUGGGUAUCGAACAGGAUUAGAUACCCUGGUAGUCCACGCAGUAAACGAUGAAUGCUGGCUGUCCGGGGGGAUUGACCCCUGGGUGGCGAAGCGAAAGCGAUAAGCAUUCCACCUGGGGAGUACGCCGGCAACGGUGAAACUCAAAGGAAUUGACGGGGGCCCGCACAAGCGGAGGAACAUGUGGUUUAAUUCGAUGAUACGCGAGGAACCUUACCCGGGCUCAAACGGGGAGUGACUCAGGCAGAGACGCCUGUUUCCCACGGGACACUCCCCGAGGUGCUGCAUGGUUGUCGUCAGCUCGUGCCGUGAGGUGUCGGCUUAAGUGCCAUAACGAGCGCAACCCCCGCGUGCAGUUGCUAACAGAUAACGCUGAGGACUCUGCACGGACUGCCGGCGCAAGCCGCGAGGAAGGCGGGGAUGACGUCAAAUCAGCACGGCCCUUACGUCCGGGGCGACACACGUGUUACAAUGGGUGGUACAGCGGGAAGCCAGGCGGCGACGCCGAGCGGAACCCGAAAUCCACUCUCAGUUCGGAUCGGAGUCUGCAACCCGACUCCGUGAAGCUGGAUUCGCUAGUAAUCGCGCAUCAGCCAUGGCGCGGUGAAUACGUUCCCGGGCCU